rnacentral:rRNA from 1 species
AUUGAACGCUGGCGGCAGGCCUAACACAUGCAAGUCGAGCGGUGCGGCGGACGGGUGAGUAAUGCCUAGGAAUCUGCCUGGUAGUGGGGGAUAACGUCCGGAAACGGGAGCUAAUACCGCAUACUAUCAGAUGAGCCUCGGUCGGAUUAGCUAGUUGGUGGGGUAAAGGCCUACCAAGGCGACGAUCCGUACCUGGUCUGAGAGGAUGAUCAGUCACACUGGAACUGAGACACGGCCCAGACUCCUACGGGAGGCAGCAGUGGGGAAUAUGGGACAAUGGGCGAAAGCCUGAUCCAGCCAUGCCGCGUGUGUGAAGAAGGUCUUCGGGUUGUAAAGCUCUUUCAGCGGGGAGGCGUUACCCGCAGAAGAAGCACCGGCUAACGCCGUGCCAGCAGCCGCGGUAAUUC